rfam:Salmo salar isolate Sally breed double haploid chromosome ssa07, whole genome shotgun sequence.
UGCAGAGUGUCCCAGCGGAAGCGUGCUGGGCCCAUAACCCAGAGGCCUAUAGAUUGAAACCAUCCUCUGCAA